AGUCGAACGCGUUGGCCCAAUUGAUUGAUGGUGCUUGCACCUGAUUGAUUUUGGUCGCCAACGAGUGGCGGACGGGUGAGUAACACGUAGGUAACCUGCCCAGAAGCGGGGGACAACAUUUGGAAACAGAUGCUAAUACCGCAUAACAGCGUUGUUCGCAUGAACAACGCUUAAAAGAUGGCUUCUCGCUAUCACUUCUGGAUGGACCUGCGGUGCAUUAGCUUGUUGGUGGGGUAACGGCCUACCAAGGCGAUGAUGCAUAGCCGAGUUGAGAGACUGAUCGGCCACAAUGGGACUGAGACACGGCCCAUACUCCUACGGGAGGCAGCAGUAGGGAAUCUUCCACAAUGGGCGCAAGCCUGAUGGAGCAACACCGCGUGAGUGAAGAAGGGUUUCGGCUCGUAAAGCUCUGUUGUUAAAGAAGAACACGUAUGAGAGUAACUGUUCAUACGUUGACGGUAUUUAACCAGAAAGUCACGGCUAACUACGUGCCAGCAGCCGCGGUAAUACGUAGGUGGCAAGCGUUAUCCGGAUUUAUUGGGCGUAAAGAGAGUGCAGGCGGUUUUCUAAGUCUGAUGUGAAAGCCUUCGGCUUAACCGGAGAAGUGCAUCGGAAACUGGAUAACUUGAGUGCAGAAGAGGGUAGUGGAACUCCCAUGUGUAGCGGUGGAAUGCGUAGAUAUAUGGAAGAACACCAGUGGCGAAGGCGGCUACCUGGUCUGCAACUGACGCUGAGACUCGAAAGCAUGGGUAGCGAACAGGAUUAGAUACCCUGGUAGUCCAUGCCGUAAACGAUGAGUGCUAGGUGUUGGAGGGUUUCCGCCCUUCAGUGCCGGAGCUAACGCAUUAAGCACUCCGCCUGGGGAGUACGACCGCAAGGUUGAAACUCAAAGGAAUUGACGGGGGCCCGCACAAGCGGUGGAGCAUGUGGUUUAAUUCGAAGCUACGCGAAGAACCUUACCAGGUCUUGACAUCUUGCGCCAACCCUAGAGAUAGGGCGUUUCCUUCGGGAACGCAAUGACAGGUGGUGCAUGGUCGUCGUCAGCUCGUGUCGUGAGAUGUUGGGUUAAGUCCCGCAACGAGCGCAACCCUUGUUACUAGUUGCCAGCAUUAAGUUGGGCACUCUAGUGAGACUGCCGGUGACAAACCGGAGGAAGGUGGGGACGACGUCAGAUCAUCAUGCCCCUUAUGACCUGGGCUACACACGUGCUACAAUGGACGGUACAACGAGUCGCGAACUCGCGAGGGCAAGCAAAUCUCUUAAAACCGUUCUCAGUUCGGACUGCAGGCUGCAACUCGCCUGCACGAAGUCGGAAUCGCUAGUAAUCGCGGAUCAGCAUGCCGCGGUGAAUACGUUCCCGGGCCUUGUACACACCGCCCGUCACACCAUGAGAGUUUGUAACACCCAAAGUCGGUGGGGUAACCUUUUAGGAGCCAGCCGCCU
rnacentral:rRNA from 1 species